AUGAAUGCAGAGGGCAUUUGGGGGUGCAAAAGUAACUGAGCGAUGAGAUGCUUAUAAAGCAGAUAUCAGUUAUCCUCUGUUCUUUGAAUGAUAUCUCAUAAAGGCAAAGAAAUGACACUGGAUAAUGCAAGGCGGUAAGAGGAGAGGAGACAGUGGCUCCGUUUGCUGCUGGGGAAAUUUUUCCUGUGUAAUGGAGACAGAAGAAGAAGCAGAGGGCUUUCUCUCUGUGAGGUCAUACACUCUGGAGCCAGUGGUGGUACAAGUCUCCAUCUGACUGGCCAGGAAGAAGGUAGCAUCUGCCCAUUCAUAUACAGAAGACCAAAGACCCUUUAGCAAAGAACACAUGGAAAGCAAGAUGAGACACAUGAGUGUACUGUAUAGCUGGGGUUGAAUGAAGGCAUGCUUUACA
rnacentral:lncRNA from 1 species